UACGAAGGGGGCUAGCGUUGUUCGGAAUUACUGGGCGUAAAGCGCACGUAGGCGGAUAUUUAAGUCAGGGGGUGAAAUCCCAGAGCUCAACUCUGGAACUGCCUUUGAUACUGGGUAUCUUGAGUAUGGAAGAGGUAAGUGGAAUUGCGAGUGUAGAGGUGAAAUUCGUAGAUAUUCGCAGGAACACCAGUGGCGAAGGGCGGCUUACUGGUCCUAACGUGA
rnacentral:rRNA from 1 species